CCCCACCAUGGCUUCCUUUAACAGAAAUACCACCUCUUCUUAAAGGCUCGCUUCCCCCAUCCAUAGUCCUUCCUUUGAUCCCAUUAGUCAAGAGUAGCAUUUCCCUCCCCUGGACUCCCGCAGCCUUUGACUAUUCCUGAUUGGACUUCAAUGCAAGGUAAAACACUUCAAGUUCCUCCUUGCAUUACAGUCCUUGUAUCAAGACUCACCAAACUUUGGCUGUAAAGAGUCACAUGGUAAAUAUUUUAGGCUUUGCAACAUAUAUAAUAGACACAUACAUGUCUAUCAUAUAUUCUUUUUUUAUAAUUCUUCAUAUUCUUUUUUUUUUAGGAAGAUUAGCCCUGAGCUAGCAUCCAUGCCCAUCUUCCUCUACUUUACAUGUGGGACACCUGCUGCAGCAUGGCUUGAUAAAUGGUGCGCAGGUCCGCACCCAGGAUCCAAACCCUCGAACCCCAGGUCGCCGAAGCGGAACAUGCGAACUUACCAGCUGCGCCACCAGGCCAGCCCUAAUUCUUCACAUUCUUAGCUAGCAGGACCGACAAAAACAGGUUAAAGAGGACAUCUGCAUCCAAUUUUCCUCUAGUAUUUUCUUGGAUACUUUUCGGGGUACUAACCUCCCCUGUGACUUGGGAGACCACUUCUCAAAACAGCCACCAGAGCAAACUUUCUGAAAUGGUAUCAGAUCAUAAUUCAGACUCUGUCUAAAGUCCUGCAAUUUAUAGUCUUUCACUUUGACUUUAAAAUAAACCCAAGGCCGUUCCAGAUUCCCUUUUAUGCCCAUUCUAGUCUCAGCUCUGGCUAUCAAGAUAAACAAGUAUCAGCUCAGAUAAACAGAGCCCACACUGCCCCGUCCUCACCCUCAUCUUCAGCCUCUCCCAUCGAGCCCUUGGCUCCAGUCCUGCUGAACCUUUGACAACAAAGGAGUGACGAUAGAAAAGGUGCUGCUUACUUGUGGUGAGUCUUAACUGCCAGAUGCCAAGUUGUUUUCCACGUGAGAACACCCAUGAGGUUUAACUGGCCAGAAGUCUGAACUACAACUUUUCAUGAGGAUUAAGAAGUGUCCCUUUUGUGGGGCUGGCCCCACGGCCUAGUGGUUAAGUUUGGCGUGCUCCACUUCGGUGGCUCGGGUUCACUUCCCAGGCACUGACCUACACCACUCGUUGGCGGCCAUCCUGUGGUAGCAACCUACGUACAAAAUAGGGGAAGAUUGGCAUGGGUGCUAGCUCAGGGCAAAUCUUCCUCAAGCAAAAAAAAAUGUCCCCCUUUUAGUGAAGGAGGUCAAAAGAUAUGCACUUCUACUUAUGAGUUAAAUAAGUCCUGGGAUGUAAUGCACAUCAUGGUGACUAUAGUUAACCACACUGUAUUGCAUAUUUAAAAGUUGCUAGGAGAGUAGAUCUUAAAAGUUCUCAUC
rnacentral:lncRNA from 1 species